GGCUGUGUAGUGUGUUAUAGCUGUAUAGAGCUGUGUAGUGUGUUAUAGCUGUAUAGAGUUGUGUAGUGUGUUAUAGCUGUAUAGAGCUGUGUAGUGUGUUAUAGCUGUAUAGAGUUGUGUAGUGUGUUAUAGCUGUAUAGAGCUGUGUAGUGUGUUAUAAAGUUGUGUAGUGUGUUAUAGCUGUAUAGAGCUGUGUAGUGUGUUAUAGAGCUGUGUAGUGUGUUAUAGAGCUGUGUAGUGUGUUAUAGAGCUGUGUAGUCUGUUUUAGAGCUGUGUAGUGUGUAUAGAGCUAUGUAGUGUGUUAUAGAGCUGUGUAGUGUGUUAUAGCUGUGUAGUGUGUUAUAGAGUUGUGUAGUGUGUUAUAGCUGUAUAGAGCUGUGUAGUGUGUUAUAGAGCUGUGUAGUGUGUUAUAGAGCUGUGUAGUGUGUUAUAGAGCUGUGUAGUGUGUUAUAGCUGUAUAGAGUUGUGUAGUGUGUUAUAGCUGUAUAGAGCUGUGUAGUGUGUUAUAGCUGUAUAGAGCUGUGUAGUGUGUUAUAGAGCUGUGUAGUGUGUUAUAGCUGUAUAGACCUGUGUAGUGUGUUAUAGGCUGUGUAGUGUGUUAUAGCUGUAUAGAGCUGUGUAGUGUGUUAUAGCUGUAUAGAGCUGUGUAGUGUGUUAUAGCUGUAUAGAGCUGUGUAGUGUGUUAUAGAGCUGUGUAGUCUGUUAUAGAGCUGUGUAGUCUGUUAUAGAGCUGUGUAGUGUGUUAUAGCUGUAUAGAGCUGUGUAGUGUGUUAUAGAGCUGUGUAGUCUGUUAUAGAGCUGUGUAGUGUGUUAUAGCUCUGUGUAGUGUGUUAUAGCUGUAUAGAACUGUGUUGUGUGUUAUAGCUGUAUAGAGCUGUGUAGUGUGUGGUAGUCCAGUCACAGUGUGUGUUCUGCUCUGCUCUGCUACACCAAGUGUCCUGUCUGUCCUGUCUGUUCUGUUCUGUCCUGUCUGUCCUGUCUGUUCUGUCCUGUCUAUCUUGUC
rnacentral:lncRNA from 1 species